UCUAGUCGAAGUCAGGCAUGUUUCCAUCAAACGUACGCUGAUACCACUAUAUAAUGAUGCUCUGUAGCAGUACGGUACUCUUUUAUGGCUGCCCCAAGCAAGUAGAUGCACCAGUUCAAGAACCAAAGUGAUUUACAUGGAUUAGAGCUCCCGUAUCUUGAAGAAACAACUACAUAAAUGGCAGCAACGAACUUAAUCAACCCAGCAUUUGCUACCAUAGCUAUCUUCUUCUUCUUCGACCACAUUACAUAUUUUAAUCUGAUGGCAAAAGAUUAUGUGCACUUUAAGAGCAUCCGGGUAGCAAUUCAGUACAGUUAUACAGUAUAUUGGAGGCUAACUGAACCUAACUUAACUCCAUCUUUUAAGGCGAGGCCAAGCUUAGCUUAUAUUGGAGGCUCAUUAUAGAGGAGGACUGUUGCUCUGGAUAAAUUAGAUUGAACCCCAUUCUCAUCUCGAAAUAGUCCUUGUCUAUGCAUGGCGCCUCUCCCACCACCAGCUUUGGCUCCCUGGCAAGGCAUCACCUGGAAUGAAAAUAUGAUGGUCAAUGAGGUUUAUCUGUGGUAUGGGUUGUGUAACAAGCUUACCCAUGUAGUAUGAAGUUGUGGACGCAUGAGAACCAACAAAAACAAACAUAGAAAACCAACACAAAACAUAUGAUUUGGAGCUUUACUUCUAAGAUUAUUUAUCAAAGUAAGAGGUGAGCAAGCCCUAAAUGUAUGACUAAAAUGUGUUAGUGGACCCCAUGAACCAAUAAAGCCUAACAAGAUGGCAACGGGUACCUGUUACCCGAUCCCCGACGGGUAAUUGCUCAAUUAAGGAACGAGUUUGGGCCACAUUUGGUGCCCACGGGUAAGUAAAUGGCAAAAAAAUCCUUACCCACUGGGUAACGCAGGUACAUGUACGUUCGUCCAUAAGUGAUUACCCAUACUUGUUACCCACUGGUACCCAGUAGUGAAGGCCUGACAUGUGGACCCCGUCUUUUGUUACUCAGUUUUGAGCUAUAUCAUUGUCAUUUGUCUUGCGAUGAACUACGCCAUCUAGGAUCACUCUUGAGAGUUAUGACUUGUGACUUUGUGAGAUGUGAGAAAGUUUUGAUACUUGAUCGUUUGAACCUUGAUACUUGUUAUGAUAAUGAUGUGAUGCAUAAAUUAUGCUAGUAUCAAAUUGAUGGGUGUUUAGUGUUAUGAUGUGAUGGCAUACACUUGUUGUGCAAUUAUUCUAUUGAAUUGAUGGAUAAUAGUGUUACGAUGUGAUGGUAUGCACUUGUGCUGUGCAAUUAUUCUAUUGAAUUAAUGGUCAUUAGUGUUAUGAUGUGAUGGUAUGCAAUUGUGCUAUGCAACUAUGCUAUUGAACUGCAGGAUGUUAUGAUUUUGGAUAAUAAGUUGCUGGUUUGAUAUGUGUGAAUUGCUCCUGGAGGUUGGCAUCAGAAAGGGCGGGUAUACCUGCGGGGAAGAAUUGUCUGUCGGGCGACGAGUAUGGGUGAAAUUCUUCCCCGCGGUGGGUAUGGGGUAAUGGGCAAGCAUGUGCUUUCACGGGCAUGAAAAAAAAGGCUUUACCUGGUCGGGUAAUUACCCAUUGCCAUCUUGAGCCUUAAUGGGCAUGCUCAGAAAGAACUAGAUGACCAUGUGUGAAUGUAGGACUAAAAGGUGUUAGUGGACCUCAAGAGCCAACACAGCCUAAGAGUCGGGGACUAGUAGGUUGGUACCCAGCCUCUUGAUGGCACCAUCGUACCUCAGUGACAGAAGACAUACUCUGAUGCAACUACAGUAGCACUAUCUUCUUGUUAUAACGAUACCACUGCAACAUUGGAAACCACCACCUAUCGGCUACCAGAUAACCAACAAUUGCACAAACAGGUUAACAUGAGAAGGCUUUAAGCUUACCAGGCUACCAGCCAUGCAUUCUACAGCUCUGGUCGGGCUGCGGCUGUUUCUGCUGCUGCUCUCCUUUGGCCUCUCCUGCCGACUCAUGCACCGAGCAAGAGGAGCACUCCCUCCUCCAGUUCCUCACUGGGUUAUCUCAAGAUGCCGGCCUUGCCAUGUCGUGGAGAAACGUCACGGACUGCUGCGAAUGGGAAGGCAUAACCUGCAACAGGAGCGGGGGCGUCACUGAGGUCUCGCUGGCAUCUAAAGGGCUUGAAGGGCGCAUCUCGCCACACCUUGCCGGCCUCACCGGCCUGCUGCGUGUCAACCUUUCACACAACUCAUUCUCCGGAGGCCUUCCGCCGGAGCUCAUGUAUUCCAGAAGCAUCGUCGUCCUCGACGUCAGCUUUAGCAGGCUUAGUGGGGUGCUGCAUGAGCCGCCGUCUUCGGUUACCACCACCCUGACUCUGCAGGUACUGAACAUCUCGAGCAACCAAUUCGGUGCAGAAUUUCCAUCCUACACAUGGAAGUUGAUGCGGAAUUUGGUCGUCCUCAACGCAAGCAACAACAGCUUCACUGGGCACAUACCACCUUCUCUCUGCCUUUCGUCAUCAUUGGCCAUGCUUGACCUUUGUUACAACCAAUUGAGUGGCGGUAUUCCUGCUGCACUUGGCGAUUGCUCCACACUCGAAGUGUUCAAGGUUGGGCACAACAACCUAAGUGGGACUCUCCCUGCUGAACUCUUCCAUGCCACUUCCCUGGAGCACCUCUCCUUCCCCAACAACGGAUUACAAGGAGAACUUGAUGGCGCAAACAUAGUAAAACUCAGUAAUCUGGUUACUCUCGACCUCCGAGAAAACAAAUUCAGUGGGAAGAUCCCAGGCUCCAUAGGUCAGUUGAAGAGGCUAGAGGAGCUCUAUUUGGGUAACAAUAACAUGUCUGGGGAGCUGCCAUCAACUCUGAGUAACUGCACGCGUCUCAUGGUCAUUGAUCUGAAGAUCAACAACUUCAGUGGAGAUCUAGGCAGGGUCAACUUCUCCACCCUACAGAACCUAACACAUUUAGAUAUUCUGAGAAAUAACUUCAGUGGCAUAGUUCCAGAAAGCAUAUACUCAUGCAGCAAUUUGAUUGCACUGCGGGUGUCGUUGAACCAUUUCCAUGGUGAGAUCUCACCAAGAAUAGGGAAUCUGCACCUAUCUUUCCUGUCACUUGCUAGAAACCCUUUUACAAAUAUCACAAAAGCUUUUCAUGUCUUCAAUAGCUUCAGGAACAUCACCACUCUGAUUAUUGCCGAGAACUUCGUGAAUGAGAUGAUGCCACAAGAUGAGACCCUAGAUGGUUUUCGGAAUCUUCAAUAUAUCCACAUGGCCGACAGCGCAUUAACUGGGCACUUGCCAGUUUGGUUAUCAAAGCUCAGAAACUUGAAGGUACUAAAGUUGUCCAACAAUCGACUUACUGGACCAAUGCCAGGCUGGAUCAACUCCCUACAUAGCCUGUUCUAUCUGGAUGUAUCAAACAACAGUUUUACCGGGCAAAUCCCAAUCACCUUGAUGGAGAUCCCAAUGCUCAAAGAUAAUACAGCAGCUUAUUUGGAUCCUGGCCAAGUUGAACUACCUCUCUUUUGGAGGAAUAUAUCGCGCCAAUACCAUUUUCUUACAGCUUUCCCUACUCUCUUGAAUCUGAGCAUCAACAAUUUCACAGGUGUGAUUCCACCGGAGAUUGGUCAACUGAAAGUGCUUUCUGAACUCGAUUUCAGCUCUAACAAAUUAUAUGGAGUGAUUCCGCUGUCGGUCUGCAAUCUCACGAAGUUGGAGGUGCUAGACUUGUCUAAUAACCAUCUGAGGGGUGUAAUCCCCGCGGCACUGGAGAGACUUCACUUCCUUUCUGCAUUCAACAUUUCUAACAAUGACCUAGAAGGGCCUGUACCAGCAGGAGGCCAGUUGAGCACAUUUCCAGAUUCCAGUUUUGAUGGGAACCCAAAGCUGUGUGGCACUAUGCUUGUUCACCGUUGUAGUUCAACCGGAGCAGAUGUUGUCUACGUUAUCUCUGCAAAACAGCUCAGCGUCAAGGUCAUAUUUUUUGUUGGCUUUGGUUUGUUUUUUGGAGUAGGCGUGCUAUAUGAUCAGCUAGUGUUAUAUAGGUAUUUCGGCUAAGCCGAUUUCAAUUGUAAUUUGUUCUAAUAUAUUCAAUGGAUAGAGGUAAAUCAAGCAAUAAAUAGCCAUGAGUUUUUUUUUUGUGUGUGUGUGUCUGUGCUUGAAUCCACCUGUAGUUAGAUCUUGUUAUAUAUUACUUGAGUCAGCUAAACAUUAUGUUGUUCGCUUCCUGAAUGAGAGAAGUACACUGCAUUCUUUUUCUAGCUAGCAGCCUUGAUGAGAGGUAGUAGUAAUUCUGUACUUUUCAGAUUGGACAUCACGGUUGUGCAGAAUUCAAGUGGGAAGUGUCCAGGGUAAUGUAAUUUUCUUUUAAACAGGGUUGGACCUAGCGUAAAUAUAAAACUACUCCAAAGAACAAACCAAAGCCAACAAGUGAAUACCUAUAGGGGUUAUCAUCAGCUAAUAAUUAAAUGUAGGGGUUAUUAUCAGUUCUAUAUCUGAGUAGUCAUUACUUAGUUGACCAUAGAGCUAAAACUUCAUAGAACAUUACACAUAUUUGGUCCAGAUAUGAACAACUCCAUGUAAGUAUUUUUUUUUUCUUUUCUGUUUUGCAGCGCUACUUCAUGUAACAACCUAUUGUGAAAACAUCUUCAGAGAAACUAUACUGAAAAUUCCAAAAAUAUAUCAUGGUAUUUUCAAAUAUAUCAUGCCAGUCAAGCUCAUGCUAGACAACAAUUAAAUGGAUAAAACUGAUAAUAACCCCUACUUUAAUUCAGAGCUCAAUCUACACAGGGCAAACAAGUCGCAGAGCAAGCCAGUAAGCUGCUUUUUCAGGGUCAGUAACCUACCCUUGACAAUAGCAAGUAAUUACUAUAUACAAAUCUGCAAAAACAGCACAUCAAUUUGCGCUUAGCUACAAUAUACUGGCAGAAUACAGGGGCGACUGGUACAUCCACCGAAAAUCUGUAAGCAAGAGCACUGACAAAAUACCUCCAGAGGACAUACCACCAGAUCAUUCACGCUCCGCCUGACCGCCGGCGAUCCAGCAUCCCGAGCUUGAUUUCGAUUCCACCGAGGGCCUGAAGAUUCGCUAGGGCUCGCGCAACCGCCGUGUCGCGCGGGGCGACGGGGCCGGGGGUGCGGGAGAUGAACGCGAGAAAUGAUAUCGCGCGCGCGGGGGCGCGCUCUCUUUUGUGUGCUCUGGAUGCGCGCUCGAUAGCUUGAACGGCGAGAGGGCGGGGUGGCCACCGGACUGGAGGGAGGCGGCGAGGGGCGCCGGCCGGCAGCGGAGCAGCUCGACCAACCGGAAUCUGUCGCAUGGG
rnacentral:lncRNA from 1 species